AGAGAUGUGUGAUGACGCAUAUCAAUAAGCGGAGGAAAAGAAACUAACAAGGAUUCCCUUAGUAACGGCGAGUGAAGCGGGAAGAGCUCAAAUUUGAAAUCUUCAAGGUUCUACCUUGACGAAUUGUAGUUUAUAGAAGUGUUUUCUGUUAGUAGAGUGGCAAAAGUUCUUUGGAAUAGGACAUCAUAGAGGGUGAGAAUCCCGUAUUUGGUCAUUCUUUCUAGCUUUGUGAUACACUUUCAACGAGUCGGAUUGUUUGGGAAUGCAGUCCAAAAUGGGUGGUAAAUUUCAUCUAAAGCUAAAUAUUGGCGAGAGACCGAUAGCGAACAAGUACCGUGAGGGAAAGAUGAAAAGAACUUUGAAAAGAGAGUUAAACAGUACGUGAAAUUGUCAAAAGGGAAGCGUUUGACACCAGUGUUGUUUUUUCCGAAAAUCAAUUACGAAUGUUUUGUUUUUGAGAAGAUAUGACUUCAUCGGCUUGCUUCUCUCUUUACGAAACUUUCUUAAUGCACUUUUCGGUUAACAAGUCAACAUCAAUUUCUUUUGUUGUAAAAGGGUAUGAGGAAGGUGGCUUUCUUUUCGGAGAAAGUGUUUAUAGCCUUGUACCUCUGCAAUCGGAGAGAUUGAGGUCUGCAGCGUAGAUCCUUCGGGGUUAGAUACAUUUGUGCUAAGGUUAUAGCUUUUCAUAGACAACUUGUUGACUAUGUUAAGUCUUGUAGCUUACUCGCUUAUGCUAUUUUACCUACGCUUAGGAUGUUGACGAUCAGCUGAGCGCG
rnacentral:rRNA from 1 species